rnacentral:rRNA from 1 species
CUGGCUCAGGAUGAACGCUAGCGGCAGGCCUAACACAUGCAAGUCGAGGGGCAGCAUUUCUAGCUUGCUAGAAGAUGGCGACCGGCGCACGGGUGCGUAACGCGUAUACAAUCUACCUAUUACUGAGGGAUAGCCCGAAGAAAUUUGGAUUAAGACCUCAUAGUAUUAUUAAGCUGCAUGGUUUGAUAAUUAAAGGUUACGGUAAUAGAU